UACGUAGGGGGCAAGCGUUGUCCGGAAUUAUUGGGCGUAAAGAGCGCGUAGGCGGUCCGAUAAGUCGGCUGUGAAAGUCAGGGGCUCAACCCUUGGAAGCCGGCCGAUACUGUCGGACUAGAGUCCGGAAGAGGCAAGUGGAAUUCCCGGUGUAGCGGUGAAAUGCGCAGAUAUCGGGAGGGACACCAAUGGCGAAGGCAGCUUGCUGGGACGGUACUGACGCUGAGGCGCGAAAGCGUGGGGAGCAAACAGG
rnacentral:rRNA from 1 species